AAUGAACUUGGUUUUCAGGAAUUCUUCAGACACCCUCUCUCCCUAAAGGCACCCUCCAGCAGGCACCCGUCCUAGCUCUUGAAAGGUGCUCCAUGCAUUAUCUCAUAAAACAUCUGUCUCUCUUUGUUACUGUGAGGGUUCUCAUUUCCACAGAAAUUUUUAACUUGACGCCAAUUUUAUCUUCAGCCCUGGUGACUCUGUAUUGUCUGUGAGCUCCCUGAGGACCCAAACAUUACUCAACACAGGAUCCCCAGCACCUAAAAUAACUGGCCCGGCGUGGACACUAAAUAAGUAUUUGUUGACUACGUGAACAUCCGUAUCACAAAACUAGAAACUACAGUGGAUCAUGGGGACCAGACAAAGACACCUCUGCCUUUAUGAAGCAUAAAUGCUUGUAGAAUAAAUGAAUUUACAAACUA